rnacentral:rRNA from 1 species
GAUGAACGCUGGCGGCGUGCUUAACACAUGCAAGUCGAACGGUGAAGGCGGAGUUUGCUCUGCUGGAUGAGUGGAGAAGGGGAGUGUAACACGUGAGCAAUCUGCCCCUGACUCUGGGAUCAGCGCUGGAAACGGCGUCUAAUACUGGAUACGCGCUGCGAAGGCAUCUUCAGCAGCUGGAAAGAACUUCGGUCAGGGAUGAGCGCGCGGCCUAUCAGCUUGUUGGUGAGGUAACGGCUCACCAAGGCGUCGACGGGUAGCCGGCCGGAGAGGGGGACCGGCCACACUGGGACUGAGGGACGGCCCAGUCGCCUACGUGGGGCAGCAGUGGAAAGCGUGGCGCAAUGGGCGCAAGCCUGAUGCAGCGGCGCCGCGGUUGUGACGCCGGCCUUCUGGUUGUAAACCUCUUUUAGCUGGGAGGAAGCGAGAGUGACGGUACCUGCAGAAAAAGCGCCGGCUAACUACGUG